rnacentral:tRNA from 1 species
GCCCCUGUGAUGCAACUGGAAGACAUGACCUGCUUAAAACGGGUUUGUUGCAGGUUCAAGUCCUGUCAGGGGUA